UUCUUUCGUGGCGAGGAGAAUAUAUCAGGCAAAGAGGAUUGAAUAUCAGACGACAGUACAGUAUAGUUUCUGCAUUUAUCAAUGUGACGUAUGGACAAACGUCUGCGACCAGUAUAACGUUGACGAUCACUGAAAUAACGUGUGAAAUCAUUUCGAUAUAACUUUUAUAGUUAUCGCUGAGUGAUAAAUUAAUUUUGCCAACUGAGUUAUCCUGAAUGUACAUUAAUGAUUAAUGUAAUAGAUUAAUGAUUAAUCUACAGUGAAAACUUUUUUUGUCAUACAAAGUGCCCUUUGAUGCGGUGAAUUGAGGUUAUCAGCUGUCAGUUUUUCAUUGCUAAUAUAUGGUUAGCCAGGAUCACUCAGAGACAUUCAGAGUAAACUAAUUCCUCCAACAAAACAAGGGACAAAAUCAACAAUCGACGUGUCCAAUCAUACUGGAGUUCGACGGAGUUGUGAAGAAUAGCGAUAAAAAUACCGUUACCAAGGACCAUUAUAAAAUUUAUUACAAGAAUAUUACCCAAUAUUACCCAAUAUAUUACCGAGCAAUAUUCAUACCAAAAUAUUACCAAAAUAUCAUAACAACUCAACGAACUGCAUAACAAAAACACAGAACUUUACAGUUUCGCUGAAUGAAUGAAGCAAUUUGUUGAGAAUCUUCGCUCAUUCAAUUUUCUGUUUCUUUUUUUUCAUUCUUUACAUAGACUAGCAGAACAUAUUUAGAACUGUCCAGUAAAAUUAAGUAGAAUAAAAAUAAUAAAGAUAAUUGACAAAUUA